rnacentral:rRNA from 1 species
UACGGAGGAGGCAAGCGUUAUCCGGAAUUAUUGGGCGUAAAGCGUCCGUAGGUGGCUAGUCAAGUCUGCGGUCAAAGACUGGGGCUUAACCCUGGAAAGGCCGUGGAAACUGACGAGCUAGAGUGCAGUAGGGGUAGAGGGAAUUCCCGGUGUAGCGGUGAAAUGCGCAGAUAUCAGGAGGAACACCGGUGGCGAAGGCGGUUCUCUGGGCAUGAUCUGACGCUGAGGAGCGAAAGUGUGGGGAGCGAACAGG